rnacentral:rRNA from 1 species
CAGUAGCCACGGUAAUACGUAGGGCGCGAACGUUAAUCGGAAUUACUGGGCGUAAAGCGUGCGCAGGCGGUUUUGUAAGACAGGCGUGAAAUCCCCGGGCUCAACCUGGGAAUGGCGCUUGUGACUGCAAAGCUAGAGUGCGGCAGAGGGGGAUGGAAUUCCGCGUGUAGCAGUGAAAUGCGUAGAUAUGCGGAGGAACACCGAUGGCGAAGGCAAUCCCCUGGGCCUGCACUGACGCUCAUGCAUGAAAGCGUGGGGAGCAAACAGGAUUAGAUACCCCUGUAGUCCCUGUCUCUUAUAC